CUAAUUAGUGACGCGCAUGAAUGGAUUAACGAGAUUCCCUCUGUCCCUACCUACUAUCUAGCGAAACCACGGCCAAGGGAACGGGCUUGGAAGAAUCAGCGGGGAAAGAAGACCCUGUUGAGCUUGACUCUAGUCUGGUACUGUAAGGAGACAUGAGAGGUGUAGCAUAAGUGGGAGGCGCUCGUCGUCGACAGUGAAAUACCACUACUUUCAUAGUUUCCUUACUUACUUGGUGAGGCGGAGGGCGUCCGUCGGAGUGUCUGCACUCCGGCGCGACGGUAUUCUCGCGCCAAGCGCCAAGGGUUGUCGGCGGCCGGUCGGUCGUAGGGAGGCCCGCGGCAGUCCGCUUCACGGCGGU
rnacentral:rRNA from 1 species